rnacentral:tRNA from 13 species
UGGACGCGUCCAUCGGUCGCGGGUUCGAAUCCCCUCGCGUCCA